rnacentral:lncRNA from 1 species
UUUUUUUUUUUUUUUUUUUUUGUAAAAAAUGACCAUGAAAAUGUUUGAAAAAAAUCUGUUUCAUCUCACUUGAUCCAAAAAAAAAAAGAAUUUUUAAAAUGAAAAGGACAUUAAACAAUAAAAAGAUUCGCACAUCUACCUCACUCUAAUACUUGAAAAAAUUAUAUGAUUUAAAAGUUUUUUAAAAAAAUCAAUUAAUUUUGUGAAGAAUAAUGUCAAUUAGUAACAUCGCCAAAAUUUGAAGUAACCAAUAUUUGGGACAUUUUUCGGGUAUCUAGCUAUUGAUUUGUUAAGCCAAAAUGACAUAGCAAUCCAUAUAUAGGACCCAGGCCUUUCUUUAUAAGAUUAAACCUUCCUACAUUAACAGUAUUAAUAAUUUAUAUAUUAUCAGUUUUAGAUGAAUGAUAAUUAUAUAAAAUUUUAAUUUGAAAUUCAUCUUCUUCUCUGAAAAAAUUCAAAGUGAGUCUGAAAUUCAACCUACAAGUGUUGUGGUAUAUUGUAUUUUGAUCGUUUUAGUGCAUAAUUCAAGGUUAAUUAGGUCUGUUACGAUGCCAUACCAACCAAUAAGAUUGGUUACAUACAGCCGAAUGAACCCAAAAAAAAAAAAAAUCCAAUGAAGGAAACUUGCUAAAGAAGAAGAAACCUGCACAUGUACAUACUCUUGGAAAUUGUGGCUUGUCUGUCAAUGUUCACUGCACGUACUCUUGAAAAUUGUGCACUGCCAAUUUCCUUCAGACGGCUAGCCAUUUUUUUGUUUUUAUUGCUUUUUCUUUUGGCCACUGCUGCCAAGGUCACGGCUUAUGACACUCAAUUACUCAUCAAUCGCCCAAUUGCAUUUGGUCCGCCUAAUAAUUGUAGGUUCACUUGCCUAAAAGUGCCUAAAAUGGCAUAUCUUCAAGGAGCUAAUGAGUGUCUGUGCCCACUUGGUAACAAUAAAUUUCUGAGAGAUCGAUGGCAGCUUAAAAGAGCAAGGCCUUUAAUAAACUUUUUCUACUGUUUCUAAUAAUUUCAGCCACCUCCUCUAAAGUUUCAAUAAUUACAAAAAUCUCCCUUACAAAGUAUGACUAGGUAACCGUUGAUGAUAUAAGUAGAAAAAAAGUCUAAUCAACACCCCGUAGGCUCAAUCUCAUUUCUUAAAAAAUUGAUGGGAUUUGAUGAUUACAUUAUUGGGAAUAUAAUUCAAUGCGGAUGAUGAAUUUGAUAUUUAGCAAAAAGAUAAUAAGCUGGUUACAUUUAACAAGAUAAGGAUGCGAUUGGGACUUGAAAGCUGCUCGUUGUAAAUGAAGAUCACUAGUGAGGGGUUUGUGUGUACAUGUGUGUGUGUGUAUAUAUAUAUAUAUAUAUAUAUAUAUAUAUAGCUAACUAAAAAGCAAAAGGUAGUUUAGGAGAAUCUUUAUAUUAUGCUUUAAGUUUUUUGUAAAAGCUGUUUAUAGAGAGAUCAAUAUUUUAUGAGGAGAUCAAGAUUUUAUGAAGGCUACAUAGUUUUUGCUUAAUACCAAGGGAGAUUAGUGUAGAUUUUCAAACUUCAAGGGAGAAGUGGUUGAAACUAUUUGAAAACCUGAGGGGAGAUUUUUGAAAUUGACCCAAUUUAAAAUCAUUCCAUAAAAUUAAGGGACAAUUUCAAGAACCUCUUAUUAGUUUUCUAACAAUGUCACUUACUACCCCUGAAGUUUAUAAAAUAUCACCUGCUUCCCAUAUUUUCAAAAUUUUCUAACGUUCUCAACCCAAUUCAAAUUAUAUGAUUAAAAUACUAUGUAUAGGAAAGAGAAAAUUAUUUCAAUCCAAAGUUGCUCUUUUGUUGUGGUUCCUUAGUUAUAAUGAUAAAUCAAUUUAAAAUCUCUUGACAUUUGAAAACUUGAUGAAUGUGUUCUUCAACGAAAAACUAUAAGUUUGAGAUUGAGAGAUCCUUUAACAAAUAUUAUUUAUAAUUGGAGUCAAAAUCUAAUAUUGACAAAUUAUAAAUAAUUAACAAAGCGUGUAAAAACUAUUUGUAAUAUUGUAAAGAUGAAGAAAAUAACUUUUUUCACCUUUGAAGCAUCUCCAAUAAGUUUUAAAUGUAAAUUUAAACAUUUUCUUCUUUUCUAAUUUUCAAGUCAUCGAUCUAGGCAAAUAAAAAUUUAAGAUUUUAAUUAGUUUAUAAAUUCUCUCAAAAUAUUUUACAUAAAAAGAAAGGUUUUCCUCAUUUGAUAAUCUAAGGGAACACAAUAAGCAUAUGGAUAAAUGAAAAUGGCAGAAUAUUGAACUUUUAAAAUCAUAGAUAACCCCCAAAUUGCAACACUUUUGCAAAAGAAAUCUAUACUUUUGCAAAACAAAAAUAAUAACAAUAAUAUCAUAUUUAUUUCUUUUUAUAUGACAUUAAAGUAUCAAAUAGACAAACAUUAAUGGAUAAAAAAUCCUUUUGUAAUUUGAAAACAUGUUAAAUAAAAUUUUAUCAUUUGCUUAUAAUUUAGAAAAGCAUAUUGUUCAUGGUUGCGGCAACUAUAUUUUGCCCCUUUAAAAAUAGCAUAUCUUCAUGCUUUUUGUCUUUAAUUUUAACAUUUGAUUUUUCAUGCUUACAAUUUUAAAAAAAAAAGUAAGGCAAUAAAAAGGCAUUGUUGGAAAGAAAUCAUUUUCUCUAGUGAGUAUUUUAAUGAUAUAAUUUGAAUUGGAUUGUAAAAAUUACAAAAAUUUUAAAAUAGGGAAGGCAAGUGAUAUUUUUAAAGCUUCAAGGGUGUUAAGUGAAACUAUUUUUUUUAAAAAAAAAGAAGGUAGAAAGCAUUUUAGGAUAUUCCUUUUUGUGUGCUUUUAGUGUUCUGUAAAAGCUCCUUAUGAGGAGAUCAACAUUUUAUGAAGUCUAUAUAGUCUUUGCAUAAUACUAAGGGAGAUUACUGUGGAUUUUCAAACUUCAAGGGAAGUGGUUGAAGCUGCUUGAAAACCUGUGGGGUGAUUGCUGAAAUUAUUCCAUCAUCCGAAGGGGCCCUAUAAUUUACAAAAAUUUUCUACAAUUUUGACAAUAAGUGAUAGUAAUAUUUUAUAUAAACAUCCAAUAAACCCAUCAUCCAAGCAGGCCUUAUAAUUUAGGACAAAUAAAUCAUGUAUUUCCUAAGAUUAAGGUCUCAAGAAUUAGAGGUUUUGAAUUUUAAUUCUUCUACCCCUCUCCGCUUCUUAAAUCUUAUUCUUCCCUGUUAGAAAAAAUUAAAAAUAAGUCAUGAUUUUUAUUUUGCUUCUGUUUGUUUAAAAGACAAAUAAUCCUAUUGCAAGAAUUGGUAACUAGUGUGAACAAACCGGCGAAGACGUUAGAAGAUGACUCUGGUUUUGUCAGAGGCCGGGUCUUCAUCUUUAUGUGGUCCAAUUGUGGAGACCAAUUAGUGUCUGACAUGGAUAAAUAGAGGUAGAAAAUCAAAUUAAAAGCCGUUGUACGUUUUUCCUCCAAAAAUUUUGUACGUUUUCGCGUGCACAUAUAUUUCGAUUAUUUUUUAUUUUACAUAUAUUAAAUUAUUACAUUAAUUUUUUUAAAAAACACUUUGGAAAAUAGCAAUGCAAACAAACUCUUUUUCUUCGGUUUAGAAAACCAAAAUAAAAAUGAUUUUCUUAUUCUUGACCUUGGAACUCUUUUGCGGCACUGAGCCUACAAUCUUUUGCACUCAAAAUAGAAAAGUUAGGAGAUGAAAAGGGUCUAUCUUGGAACGUUCCUUUUUUUUUUUUUUUUUUGCUUUCUUUUGGAUUAAAACAGAAUUUUAUUACAUGAAUAUACACUAAUAGCAAAAAACAUGUGAUAGAUACCUUUUUUCUUUUGUCUACACGAUAGUUUCUAUUUUAUAUCUACUUCUACUCUAUGCUAGGGGGAGAGGGUGGGCUCAAAUGAAUCAAAGAAGAAUUCGAAGGGGACUAAAACACAAUCGAAUCAGACGGGUACCUCUGUAAUCGCUGGUCAAACUUUUAGAAAAUCUUGGAGAUGAAUGUAUAUCAAGGGAUCAAAAUCCCUUGACCUGUAAAGCUCUCCUUGAUGACCUACUACCCAGUUAUAACAGAUACAAUUGAGGUAAACUUGCUAUGGAAGAAACCUAUAAUUGUCUUCACCUCAUUUAAUAUAAUCGGACAUAUGAAGCCACUCGGAUAUGGGGCACAAAUGGUCAUUAGAAGAACCGUUCAGGAGUAAUCUUCUCACAUCGCCAAACAAGAGGUCCAGCAAAUGUCACAUCACCAAGGAAUAACCAAAGCCAAAAUGAACUUGUUUCAAUUGGUUAGGCUAAUAAACAAAAAUAAAAGGGAUUGUUUACUCUAAUAGACUCCGUUAGAGCCAAAAGGGUUUUUCAAAAUUUCAAUUUUUGAAAUGAAUUUUUUGAUUUGGAUUGUGACUUUGAAAUGAAACGCGAGAAAAAUCACCUACCAUAAUAUUGAACAAAACACCAUUCUCUAUCUAGCUAGGAAAGGAAAAAAUUAGUAGAGAGAUAAACUUGUAUACAUUAAGUUUUGGGGGGGAAGAGGUGGGGAGAGAGGGAAUCUAUUGGAAGAAGAUGUGAGAGGAAAUUUGAACUGAAGAAGAAAGGUGCGCUUUGUCUCUCAUAUGUUAGAGGUGGAUUUCAGCUAUAGAAUCAUAAAGAAAAAAGCUACAAUAAUUUUGUACCACACAAUAUUUUGACCACCAAGCAUAUUGAGGGUGAUAUGAAAUAGAGAAGAUACCAAAUAUAGCUAUAUGUGUCUCCAAAAAAUUUGGUAAAGUGAACAGCGGUUUGAAACAAACCACAUACAGCAUGGUGGUCAAGCACAAUGCAGGAGUCCAAUGAAGAUAAUGACACUAACCUAUUUAUUGAAUUGUCGUUACUUGUAGGCUCAAAGAUAUACAAUUGUAAUAGACAAAAGAAAUCAUUUUGUAAAUUUUGUGCAUAAGGACCAUAUGAUAUAUGAUAAGCAAUUAUGUGAUGGCCAAUUAUUGUGUUUAUGUAUUUGUACAAAAAGUGAUGCAAUAGUUACACUAGUUUGGUAUGAGUGCACAUGUGUAAAUUUCAUUACUUGGUCAUCAACCUUUAGAGAGUAUGCACUACCAGAUAUGAUUUAUGAGUAAGUCAUAAGUUAUUAAGUAAGUACAUGGCAUGACAUACAUAAAGAACUAAGCGAUGUACUCGAUGACUGUCAAAGUGUGUAAUUUGUUACUCAUCGAUAAAGAACUAAGUGUACAUAUGGUGUAUGGCUGUGCAUAGUGUGUUUGUCACAAUGUACAUCUUGCUAGGUGAAAAUUACUGUGAGUAGUAUAGUGUAAAAUGGAGAGCAGUGAUAUGCACACCCUUGUACUAGUUGUAGGAGCCUCGAACUCGUGCAACAUCUUGGAUGGGAUUUGCUUUUGCAUGAUUUAGUGCUAAUUUACAUAAUUUACCUCAUGACCAUUGUGUUUUUAGAAGUAUAGACCUUGUGAAUUAAUCAUUGCAGUUUGUUAAUUUGUUAGUAUGAGUACAAUUAAGUUUUCAUCUUUGUCUUUCUUACAUAGUUUGUAUAGCACAAUAAAUGUAGUUAUGUGAGAUGGAUUCCAUUCUAGAAACUUUGGUAUAGUUGAUAUUUAUAUGUUUCUGUAAGUGUGCACAUUGUUAGUGGGUAUGGCUUAGUGUUAUAUGUUUUGUAUGUUGACGUAGUUAUAAAUUUAUAGAAGUUAGCCUAUUGCUUGAAUUUUUAUUUGGUUAUUGGUUCUUAAUUACUGUCAUGUAUAUGGCAUAUAAAGUGAUAAUGAAUUUACUACACUAUUGUUCGUUGGCUACAUGGAGUUCAUAUAGUUGUAUAAUUGGUGUUUGAUUAGCUAUGCCCUAUAUGUAAUUGAUAAUCCUAUAAAACCUUUUCGCACAACCUAUAUACUAAACAAGUCACAUUGUGAUAACUAAUGUACAUAUGGUGAUUUUCAAGAAUUGGAUUUGUGGAAAGAAGCAAGUGGACAAAAGAUGGAACUCCACAAUUAGGAAUGGAAUUUGAUACAGAAGAUAAUGUCUAUAAAUUUUACAACAAAUAUAGUUUUGUCAAGGGUGCAACAUAGUUUUCUUUACAAUCAUCAAAGGUACUUGUUAUGGCUGAUAAGUUGUUGUAAAUGAACCUUUUUCACUCACAAUAUUUUUGUUGCAUUUUGUGAAAAGUUUAGAAUCAAAAGCAAGCUAUACAGUCUCACUAUUAGUCCAAAUAACUUGUAAUUGUAACUUGUUGAAAAAGAUUUGAGUACCAUUCCUAUGCUUAUAUAGCACCCUCCUUUGUUAUGUUUAAUUGACAGUGAUUCGUUUAUUGUGUAGGCUAGUUUAUUACUGUCACUACUACUAGAAGACAGAGGAAUCGCAUCCAACCAGCCAUAAGAACAAUGUUAGCAUUGUAACAUCGGCCAAUAAAUUUUCAUGUAUACACUGCAGUUUACUUCAAUAAGUGGCAUGUAUAUAAAUAUUUAGUGAAUGUAUAAUCUGGUUGAAACAAUGUACACUGUGUAACCGACUAAGUAUGAUGCAUAGAAAUUGUUGAACAUGCUAUUAUUUGUCCACAUGCAUAUUGCUAUUAGUCAUCGCAGUCACAUGCAUAGUGCAAUGAUAUGCAUAUAUUUGGAAUGAUUAUUGGUGCUUUGACCCAUUUGUGCAUCUCCUUGCAGGAUGCAGUAGGUGUGUAAUUUUAUUUGUAUAGCUAAUACUAAUUUGCCUAUAAGCACAUUACACAGGGUGAUCUAUGAGAUACAAUCAAUUUACAAAAAUGUACAACAUCUUAGAUGUUAUUACUUGCUGUGUAUAUCUACAAAAGUAGUACAAUGGUGCACAUAAUUUUGGAAUGGUUGGCCCUUUAAUCAACUAUACAUCUCUUUAUAAUGGAUGUAUAAUUUUACUUGUAUAAGUAGUACUAGUGUGUUUGUGAGUAGAGCUGUUAAUCGAAUUGGGUAACUCGCAAGUUGAGCUCGACUCGGCUCGUUUACUGAGAGAAAUGAGCCGAGCUCGAGUUCAACUUUAGGCUCGUUUAAUAGACGAGUUGAGCUAUGCUCGAUUCAUUUAAACUCGAUAGGCUCGAAUAGUAGAGUUAUUAGCGUCAUUUCAUUGUGUAUUUGAUACUUUUACCUAAUUCAUUCUCCUGUUUCUAGCCCUAAUUUUUUCUUUCCUCUUUUGGUCUUGCCCUAAUGUUCAUCUCCCAAACGAGCUCGAGCUCAAUAAGCUUGGCUUGAUUUUGAACUCGAGUUCGAGUUUUCGAUCGAGUACAUCGAGUCGAUCUCGAACAGCUUGUGAAACUCGAAUUACUAAUCGAGCAAGGUUGAGCUAGUUCGAUUAGAGGUUCGAGUCGAGCUCGAUUAUCAUGUGCUCGAGCUCGACUCAGCUCUAUUUGUGAGCACCUUACACAGGAUAAUCUAUAAGGUACAAUAAGUUUACCAAAAUGUGCAUCAUGUUAGGCGUUAGUUACUUGACUAUGUAUAUUUGUAAAAAGGGGAUUAGAUAUAGCGCAGCAAAAAAUAAUUACGUGAGUUGGAAUGUAUUCUAGAAACUUUGGUAUAGUUGAUAUUAAUAUUUUUUUAUGGAGUGUACAUGUUGUUUGUAGGUAUAGAGUAGUGCUAUAUGUUAUGUAUGCUUACAUGGUCAUAAAUUUACAAAAGUUAAUCUAUUGUUUGAAUUUGUAAUUGGUUGUUAGUCCUUGCACACUAUCAUGUGCAUAAACAUAAUGUAAGAAUGAAUUUACUAUAUAGUUGUUCACUGGUUUCAUAGAGUUCAUACAGGCAUACAAAUUGGGGUUUGAUUACUAUGUCCUGUAUAUAAUUGUUAAUAUAUUAUAUCUUCUUCACCUUAUUUUGCAGCGUGUCAAGAGCAAAGACAGCUUCCUUUGACGAAUCAAUGGAUAUCAAUCAACACUGGUGCAACAAAGAAAUUAGAUUGGAUAAUUAGAUAGUUUCAUUGUGUCAGACUCAUAACACUCAUUAGAAUGUACCUAGUUCUUAAUGCAUUAUCAUAUGUUCAAUCCAUUUUAAAAUGUACAAAAGGCAAAAAGUUAAAUUGCUAAUUUUAGAUUCUGUUUAUUAGUAUUGUAAAUCUAGUUAGUAUUUAAGUAUUGUUUAAGUACUAUUUGUUGUUAAAUAAAGAUUUUUGUUUCACAAAUUGGUGGAAACUAGUUACAUUUGGUUAUUUAUAAGUUACAUACAUGCUGAUUGAACAAAAAUUUAACUAGUCAUCUAUCACUAUCUAUAUCUAUAUGUAUUGCUGAUGGGAUUUUUAGCAGAGACCCUCUCAAUGACUUCCAAACUUCUCAUUCUUUUUUCUAGAUUUUUGUAUUUAUUUUAAUACAUAAAAAGUAGUGGGUUAUAACCAACCCUAUCACCAAUCAAAUUUAAAAUUUAAAACAUUCCCACUAUCUACUUCAUAAACUGUUUAUAGUUUGUUAUUUAUACUUUAAAUCCUUUUUACUUCUUAAUUAAAGACAAAUGUUUAAGAAGUUUAUGCAAAUGAGAUAAAUACUAUAAAUUAAAGACAAAUCCUUUAAAUCGCAAUUAAAAUCCUUUAAAUCCUUUUUACUUCUAUACAAAUGAGAUAAAUACUAUAAAUUUUUAAUAAUAUACACAUUCUAUCAUAUUUCAAACUAUUGUUAGACAGAUAUUAUAUUUUAAUUGCGUUGGUACAAUUUUUUAAACUUUUUUAAUUCAUCCUUUUAUUUUCAUUUUUUUCAAUAAUGUCAUUCACACUUGUUAUGGAAGUAAUGGUUUUAGGUAAAAUUUUAGUUAUCAAUAUAUUAUAAUCUUAAAAAGUAGUAAUUACCCAUCAGCAAAUUUGUAACACCCAAUCAUAGUAUCACUUAUUUCCAUUUUUAUCAAACCUCAAACUAAAAAUCUUAGAAACAUGGUGAUGAUAUCAAUUUUGGCAUAUUUCUAUGAUUUAAUUCCUUUUUGAACAAAUAUCCUUGGGUUUAUUAGGUAUGAUACAUAUAAAAAUAACAUAUACAUAAAAAGAGAUGAUGUGUGAUUUAAAACAAAGAAGGGAUUCCUCAAAAAAAGAUGAAGAAUGAAGGAGCUUGUUAAGUUUAAAAAUAUAACAAAGUGCCUCUUUAUUAGAUAAUUUUAUUAUUUACAAAUAUUUCUAAAAAUUGAAGAAAAAAAUUAAUCAAACGUAUACUUUAGUUAUAACAAUAUGUACAACAAUUAUAAUAGAUAUAUAUAAUGCUUCAACCAAAUCUACAAAUUGAAAAAAAAUCUACGACGAUUACAAUGAUAUCUACAAGGAUUCUUACCUAUCGCUACACAAUAUUUUCUAUAAAUCGAAAUUGAAAAUUUACAAAUGUUGUGAUAAUAAAAAUAUGUAAAAGGAAGGUAAAAGAGUUAUACAAUAGUAGUAUUAGCUGAGUUUCACUUGCUCCAUUUCUUCUUCUCAAGUUGGUUUCUUCUUUUCCUUUCUAAUUAUAAAUGAUGGGAUUGGUUCUGCAAGUUCAGUGGUUCCCCCUAUUUAUAUUUCUUCCUUUUCACUUGGAUUCUUCUUUGUCCUUUUCCAUACCAUCUCGUCAGCCACUGCUCAUGCAAAUUGUAAAGGCUAUUUACUUUGUCCAUACCAUCUCUCUUUUAUCUACCUAAAACCUUGACUAUAUUGUUGAUCUGUUGUUGUUGUUGUUGACAAACACCCCUACAUAUCCCCUAGUAAAGCUCUUUCUACUAAUUGGUUUGAAAGUUUUUUUCUCUAUUUGCAAACAUUUGGCAUGCAAAAUUUUUCUUUACCCUCCUUCCUUGUGUAGCCCAUCAAUUAAUUUAACUCUACCAUUCAAAGGGUUUCCACGGAGACUACAAGUAAAGUAGAUGAAUACUAUUCACCAAAAAAUGAAAAUUAAAUAAUUGGUUUGCAACAUUUGGGAGUGUUUGGAUACUAAAAUUAUUCCAAAUAAUAUUUCGCUUGCAUCACAAACACAUUUCUCAACCUACCUUUUUAUAUUUUCAAUCACCUUUUUAUCUCACAUACAUCAUAUCACAAAAAGUGCUACAGUAAUUAUUCAAAAUAAUAUUUCAAAUAAUACACUAUCCAAAUAAAUGUUACCUGAAGGGUUUAUGUGGAUGCAAUUGGGUGUUUCUCUGUCUCAGAUCCCAUCACCUUCUAUUAUCAGAUCUUCAACACCUUUUCCUUCAGCAAGUAGUUCUUCCUUCUCCUUAGUGCAAUGAUUGACGGGUGAUAAUACAUUUUCAUGACUCUUCUCUGGCACUCCUCGUUUGCAACUUUUUUGUUUUUUUAAUGUUAUUUUGCCCUGAUUCUGAAGUUAUUGAGUUAUAUUAACAAUUUUUGGAUGAAAAGUAAGAGAUUAAUUUUUGGAAGGAGAAUUUUAGGCUUUGAGUUUUAAUGGACAGUCAUGCCCAAUCAAUUUGGACGAGAUUUUUUUGGAACGGUGUUUUGACGGUAGUGGAAUCUAUUCGGCUAAGGCAAUUUUUUUUUAAAAUUUUUUUUUCAUGUUCAUUAAGUAAAACGUGAGCAUUUUAUCUCUAUCAAUAUGGAUGCGGGGGAGACAAAAACUCAUGAAGGAACUACUCAGGACGGUCCUUUUGAUUACCGUCUCUGCCCCAUACCCCAAGCGACUGCAAGUCCCCAGAUUACCACAUUACCACUUUCGACCGCAAGCCCAUUGUCUCGUUAGGAUUUGUUCACUGCACAUACACUGUAUUUGAUAUACUGUUUUGGAAUUUGUGCAUUGCCAAUUUGCUUCUGACGGCUAGCCAGCACUUUUUAUUUCUUGUUUCUAUUCCUUUUUCUUUUUUGCCGCUGCUGCGAAGUUCACGGCUUACGACACGCUCAAAUUGCAUUCGGUCCACCUAAGAGCGCAUGUUCACUUGCCUAGGAUCGACUAAAAAGGCACAGCCUACAAAGUAUCUUUGCCCACUUGGUUACAAUAAUAUUUAUAAAUACAAGAAAUUUCUAAGAGAGCGAUGGAGCUUAAAAGGGAUAACUUCAUAAACUUUUUCUAAGGUUUUUGAAAAUUUCAAUCAGCUUCAAUCAAGUUUCAAUAAUUACAUUCCUCACUACCAAAGUAUAACUAGAUAGCAAUCAAUAAUGUAUGUGAAAAAAAAAUACAGCGAAUACUCCCAUAUGUUGGCUCCAUCUCGUUUCUUGAAACUAUAUAGUUAAUAAUUUAUAGAAAGAAAAGUACCCCUAUUUAAGGAAAAAUUGAUGAGAUUUGAUGACUGUAUUAUUGGGAAUAUAAUUCAAUUGUGGAGGAUGAAUAUGAUUGGGACUUGAAAGUUGCUCGUUGUAAGUGAAGAUCAGUAGUGAGGUGAGAUUAAGGGUGUUUCUAUGUAUAUAUGUAUGUAUAUAUAUAUAUAUAUAUACUAGAAAAACAAAAGGCAGUUUAGGAGGUUCUUUUUUUUUUUUUUUGUGCUUUUAGUUUUCUGUAAAAGCUCUUUAUGAGUAGAUCAAGAUUUCACGAGGGCUAUAUAGUCUUUGCAUAAUACUGAGGGAGAUUAGUCUAAAUCUUCAAACUUCAGGGGAUGUGGCUGUAACUAUUUGAAAACCUCAGAGGAGGUUUUAGAAAUUAUCCCAAUUUAAUAACAUCAUAUAAAAUUAAUACGUGGGGAAGAGAUUAGUUAACUCCGAUUUUGUCCACUUGCAUUUACGUGGGGAAAUGAUUCAUGUGGUGAGAGCACCGCGACAGCUUUCCUGUCUAUAAUAUGGACAAAAAAUUAAAAAAAAAACACUCUUGAAUGAUAUUAAAUUGCGAAACAAAUUUUAGAAUUUUCUACUUUUUUGAUAAAACAUCAUAAUAUCAUUAAAAUAUAUACUAAUAGCAAAAAUUACAUCGUCAAACAAACUCAGAUAUCAAAGAAUAUAUCCGAAGAAAGAAUACUAUAAAUCUGAAAAACAAUAAAAAGUACAUUAUAAAGGUCCAAAUUUAAAAAAAAAUGAGAUAAAUAAUUGUAGUUCCAUGGAUAUUUAUGCAUGCCUCCAAUUAUUAGAUCUGUUGAUUAACUGCUUCAAGUCCUGAUAUUAUGACAAGAUCUACCGAAUAUAUCUAAGAAAUUUCAGAUUUGAGAAUUAAAAUCUGAAAAAACUCAGAUCUAAUAAAAGAAAAAUAAAAAAAUUAUCAAAAACUCUCACUAGAAAUCUCUAGAAGAGAGUAAAACUCUCACUAAAAAAUUUAAGAGAAAAGGAAACUCUCGUUGGACAAUCAUAAGGAGAGGAAAAACUUUCACUAAAAAAUCUUCGAGGAGAUUUUAUUCACAUAAAUAAAAAGAAACUAUAGAGAAGGCUCCUUCCAUGGAGAAAGAUUACGAAGAUUUGAUUUCUCUCCCAUGGGAGAAUUAAAGGAAGUUUUAGUUGAAGAGUUUUUUCUACAGAGAAUAAUUUUCUCUGAUAAAUGGGGGGUUUUUUUUUUCAUCACUUAUUUUUUCGUCAAUUAUAAAUAUGGGGUCUAGUAUCUCAUUGUUUAGCCAACUUUUCUGAGAUUGUGUGUGUGUGUGUGUGUGAAAUUCACUUUCCUUGACACAUAUGCAUACUAUCAGCAUGGCCACCGGAAAUGGAAAUCACGAGGCACAACAAACAGAGGAAAACUUUGAGCAAUUUUAUGAGACAUGGAAGAAGCAGCAGAACCAGCAUCUUCAAGAACUCAUCACUGCAUCAGAACAAGUUUCUUCCCCAACACCGCCAACAGAGGGGAUCACGGCUUGUUCCUCCUCAUCACCACCACCACCAACAGACGGGAUCACGGCAACAAAUUUGAACAACUUGGUAAAACGUGUGGUCGAACACUAUGAAGAGUACUACAAAACCAAGUCAGAAUGGGCAGACAAAAACAUAUUGCAAAUAUUGUCACCCCCAUGGACGAGUUCUCUUGAGGAUGCAUUCCUUUGGAUUGGUGGAUGGAGACCCACUAUGGCUAUCCAUCUUCUCUACUCAAAAUCAAGUUUACAGUUCGAAUCCAAAUUCAAUGAUUGGAUGCAGGGAAAAUUGACUAAGCAUGAUCUUGGCGAUUUGACAGAGAGUCAAAUCAGUCUAAUUGACGAGCUGCAGAAGAAUACAAUCAUUGAGGAGAAGGAAAUAACUGGAAAGAUGGCCAAGCAGCAGGAGAAGGCGGCCGGUGCAGACAUGGUGGAGCUGAGUCAUUUGGUGAGUGAGGCACUGCGUGAAGAAGAAAAGGGAACGAAAGCAAGGGAUCACGAAGCUGAACAGAGCCAGGCUGAGUCAAGUCUGAGUCCCAAGGAGAAAGGGUUCAAGAAGAUCUUAGAAAAGGCCGAUAAUCUUAGGCUGAGAACCCUUAAGAGUAUAAUUGACGCAUUAUCUGCAACACAGGCUGUUCACUUCUUGAUUGCUGCUGCUGAACUUCACCUGAGGCUACACGAGUGGGGAAAAGCCAGGGAUGAAGGGCAACUCUCUGGCGGAGCUGGCCAUCCCAUUUUCCGACAAGAAGCCUGAAGAUUGUAUUUGUUUGUGUCGAUUUCUGAGAGGGAGGGGUUUUUAUUUUCUUGGCAGCUUAUAGUUGUUUAGGGCUUCAAGUUUAUAAAACUACCUUAAUUACCGUUGGUUUAAAUUGUAGUAGUAGACAGGCCAUAUCUUGGUUAAUAUUCCCAUUCCAGCUUUCUUAGUCUAGGUGGUCACCAAUGGUCACCAUAAACUUUCUGCCAUCUCGAAACUUGCGGAAAAUCAUAUGAGAAGAACCAAGUGAAAAGAAUACACAAACCACUCCCAACCAACCAAUACAAGUUUUACUCGAGACAGAGGCAUACAAAAAGAAAGCCCUGAGGAGGGUUUUCCUUCACGAGUCAAUACAACUACUUUUGGGGAGAGAGAAGUUUAGCAACUGCAACAGGCUGUGUGAUUAUAUAUUAAAGAAACAGUUCAAUAAAAUUACUAGCACGCAACCAACUUACACUAAUCUCUAUGAUAAACUAAAGUAACAAACCUGCUUCACUACAGGUAUUUAUUUAAAGGCAGCAGCAGAAGGGCAUGAUGACAGAUCCUCUUUUCUAAUGCCAACAGUUUGGCGAAUGCUGCCAAAAAGUAACUCCUUUUGUUCAUUAGGUGCACCACUUCUUU